CACGUAGGGCGCAAGCGUUGUCCGGAAUUAUUGGGCGUAAAGAGCUCGUAGGCGGUCUGUUACGUCUGCUGUGAAAACCUGCAGCUCAACUGCAGGCUUGCGGUCGAUACGGGCAGGCUAGAGUUCGGUAGGGGAGACUGGAAUUCCUGGUGUAGCGGUGAAAUGCGCAGAUAUCAGGAGGAACACCGGUGGCGAAGGCGGGUCUCUGGGCCGAUACUGACGCUGAGGAGCGAAAGCGUGGGGAGCGAACAGG
rnacentral:rRNA from 1 species